GAAUGUGAAGACAAUCUGGCUAUGACAUCAUCAUUCCAUUGAUCACCAAAGUUGAGUCACGUGAUAUGGUUGGCUACAUGGGUGUCCUCUUCUUGACUUACCCAUCCAUAUGUACCCAACUGUGUUGUAUUCUUGAUCAAAGAAGACAACCUUCCCAGAUGCAGGAAGACCAUUCUUCAGUCAAGGGUCCCCUGGCACUUUGUAAGGAGAGCGGAGGCAGAGAGAAGAUGGCAGAGGCAGCUUCAAGUCAAAGAACCCUCAGAAGCCAGAAAGAGGCAAGGAAGGGUUCUUCCUACGACCCCCGCAGAGGGCAGGUGGCCCUCCUAC
rnacentral:snRNA from 1 species